rnacentral:rRNA from 1 species
CAGCCGUAAACUAUGCGCGUUAGGUGUACUGGUGACCACGAGUCACCGGGUGCCGAAGGGAAACCGUGAAACAUGCCGCCUGGGAAGUACGGUCGCAAGGCUGAAACUUAAAGGAAUUGGCGGGGAGCACCACAACGGGUGGAGGCCUGCGGUUUAAUUGGACUCAACGCCGGAAAUCUCACCGGAUAGGACGGACAUAUGAUAAGUCGGGACUGAAGACUCUACUUGAUGAUCUGAGAGGUGGUGCAUGGCGUCAGUGACU